AAAUGACAACAGCAGUAGUUAUGGAGAGCACUGACAGAUAUAAGCGGUAUUUGUCAGUUUUUGGAUAUAGAUUGGUGAUAUUUUUGUGAUAAUCCUUAAGACCAAAUGGAUUAAUUAGAAUAAAUGAUGCCCUGAUGAAGGACACUUUGAGUGUUCGAAACGUUGGCGACAAAUGAAA